UGAGAAAUGCAUUGAAAAGGAAAAAAAUUACAGAUUACAGUUCAUUGCAGUGCAGAAGUUUUGAUGUAUAAAUAUUUCUGAACAUUCAACAAUUAUCUUCAAAUAUUUUCUUAAUAUUUUAUAUAAUGUUUGAUGACGUAUGACCCUUGCUGUGGUGCCUUGAAAGCAAUUAGUCAAUUCACUCGUUCAUAAAUUGCAACCCAUCUUUUUUUACUGUGCCACUUUUCACUAUAUAGAGGACAGACAGCCAUCACCACCACACAUCUGCUCCUUUCUCCCUGCAGGUGUGGUGACAAGUAGUGAGGUCACCACUGAAUCUGACACACCUGCUGAGCCUGACCUGGUGUCUUUCUGUGCUACCCUGGGCAACAACCGAGCCCUGCGAGUCCCUACCCUCUUCAAGCCAGGUCAGUCAUGGUCAGGGGAAGCUCAAAUAUUUCAGAACAGUGCAGGGAUUAUCUCCAACACAAAUGGAGACCUGCAAAAUGUACCUGUCUCCCUCUAUAUACCAGACAAGCAAUCCCUCAUAGGGUGGCCCAGGCAAAGCACUACACUCUCAUACACGCAUCAUUCAUACUCUUAGUUCUGUCACCUCCUGGUGGUUAGCAGUCAUCUCGUAGACCACUCUGCUACACCCCAGGAACUUAGGCAUAGCACAUCAGGUCAUAUACUUGGAAAAUAAAGUGAAAAUACUUGCUCCUGACAAGCUUACAAAACCAAUAGUGCACUUGUGAACUCCUCCUAAACUAAGGAGAUAAAACACUGUUAUAUUAGGUGCCUAAGAUUGAAAAGUAGAUAGACUAAAGCACUUACUGUUUUGUGCCAGUUAGUGUGGAGUUAACACUUGGAGAUUGAGAAAAGUACAAGGGGAAGAGACAGUUCACUUCUUAGCCUGGUCUGAGUGUACCAUUGUUUGAGGCAGGUGUUAGGCUGGCAUGUAUAUGGAUGGACAGGAGAGACAAAGCAGCAGGAAUAUGGCUAGAUUUAAAAACCGUGAGGAUUAAGAUUGUUUUCAAAUUGAGUGGUAAUUGAAUGAUAAUGAGGUUGUUAAUGCCAAGUAAAUAGUGAGUUUCAAAAGAUUACACAUAUUUAUGAACCAGGGUGAUUGAUCAAAAUAGGUAGGCAUGUUCAGGGACUGACUGCCCUAUGUAGGGCUGAUGGCUUCUUGCAGCUUUUGUUGUUUUUGUGCUCUUAUGUUCUUAUAAGGGAAUAAAGUCUUAAUGAGUAAUGAUGGAAGAAAAAGACAAGGUUAGUCAUCAGGACCAAUAAACUGGCAUUGGCACUGGUGGCUCUUGGUUUGCAUAAGUUGUUUUACAUUAAUUAGUUUAAUGUGACUUAAAAUAUAAUAAAUUAAGCCCUUUCACUGCAUUAAGCAACAAUUUGCAGCAUUAAGAAGUAUGUAUGAAAUCUUUAUAAGCAUGUGCAAAAAAGAAGAGCAUGAAAAAGAAUAGAUUUUGCAAUUUUUGGUGGUGUAGUGUAGUGUUUGGGGUAGAUCAGCAACAGACAUGCCAGAGUGCUGAGUGACUGAGGAAAGAUUUGACAGACAGCAGGAAAAGGGUUCAUUGAAUUUACGUGAUCUUUUCACCUCGGCACGACCCGUCGCUGUGCUUACAUAAAUAUUAAGGAAAUUUGUUUCCUUUUUUUCUGCAUUUUUGUUGUUUCAGCUUUUACAUUUAAGGUUGGGGUUAAUAAACAAAGAUAAACUAUAUGAAUUAGCAUUAUUCAUUUAUAGGUUAGGUUAGGUAAGGUUAUCACAGUGAAAGGGUUAAAAGAAAUCCAUCCAUCCAUACAUAUGUUCCCUUAUUUACCCAUAUGUUUGCACCCCAAGCUGACUAACCACCACCCUGCCCACCAGACGGGGACUACCAAACUGUGGCUGACAUGGUGGGUGGCAGUCACUCCAUUACAGAGUCAACUACUAGUCACGAGGAAAGUUUGGACGAGGCCAGAAGUGCGUCAUCCCACUGCAGGUCACGGGGACAGGAACUGCAGGCCAGGCAGGGUCACCGUCCCUCCCACGGCGACCCGGAUUAUAGCUAUGCUCACCCUGUGAAGAAGCAGUACCUUCCCCCACCCCUCCACUGUCCUCCACUGACAGCAACAGGUGUAUGAGUUAGUGAUAGUGAGGUCACUGACAGACAGACUCGCCAAAUUGUUCAUUAGUAAAAGUUCCAUGGCCACUAAGUUUGUAAUCUGCUUCUGUGUUUGUAUCUUUCCAGCCUUUUUAUUCAUUGAUGUACACUUUUGCCUUUCACUGCUUCCUCCUGUAAUCCAUUCUAUAUCUUUAUAUAUUUACAUGGAAAGAUAUGUUUGCAUUAUUUGGACAUUCUCUCUCUCUCUCUCUCUCUCUCUCUCUCUCUCUAAUAUUGAGGUUCAUCUCUUGUCCAUAACAAAAGGGCAUUUCUGUCUGGUUCCUCAGGUUGGUUGACUAACCCUAAAGCUGCAGGGGUUUUCACACAUUUCUCCAUUCCAUAUGUCUCUACUCCUUUGUGGAAAGAUGUGUGUUAUUUAGGAAGCUCUCUUCUGUCCAAGUUUCUUUUCAUCUUUAUCAUCAUGUGUCAAGUCAUCCAGUUCUGGCACUAUCUUAGUGGCUGUUCUUUGUAUUCUUUCCAAUCUCUACAUAAAACAUCACCGAAUUAAUUAAGCUUAGCAGAAAUUAUGUGAUGUGCCCUACUGAUGCUGGUGUGAAGGCGAGGUGUUUGUAGUGAGCCGUGUGAUGCCUUCCCCAGUGCUGAAUAUGGAGAGAGCAGCCAGGCGACACCAUACACUGGAGUUUUCUGAGGAGGAGUGCGACCACCCCUCCAUCAAGCAAGCAGGAGUGGAGCCUCUGGAGCAGCUGAUGGCUGACCUGGAGCUGGAGAAGAUGGUUCAGGAUGCCAGCAAGACAGCUCUUUGACACUUCCAGUAGUGGUAGAAGCCUCCCCUCUCCACCCUCACUCCUCUGCCACUGCUGACCACAACACUGAGGCUGUAUUCUUCAGGACCUGAUUGUUGCUUGGACUUGAGGCUUCCCUGCUUGGUAACACUACUCUUAAACACUGUGGGCUUUCACUGCAACAAUCUCCAAGGUUUACAGAAAUGAUUAGUCAGGUUCCCCCUGGAUAUUUUUCUUACUAGUGGAAAAUCCUUUUUUAAAGUAUCAUUAGAAUCAUGAAAAUCCAAUAACUUCUACUUCAUCCAGUUAAGUGUUAUUAAGAUACAACACCAAAGUGUUUGAGAAUACAGAGCCACAGUUGGCUUAUUGCUUUGAUCUGUGGCUGAGUGUGUGAACUGGUGUCCUGAGUUCUGCAUCAGGCUGUUGGUGCUUCACAGGGAGGUGGCAGCUACUGGGUGAUGAAGGUUGAGGCUUCCAGCCGUGCAUACACCCCUCAUCUUCAUGCAGGGAGGUGCACUAUGGUGUUCUUGUCAAGCUUGCUUACACAAGUUGCUGUUGUUGUGUCCACACUUGCCUCAUACAAGUAAUAAGUGAUUCUCAGUGAGUGUUGUGUUGUGGUGGUGCAAGAUGCUGCUGAGGCUGGAGUUUUGUCCCAUUGUGUUGUUGGUUGGUUAACUUCCAAAGCAGAGCACUUUCUGACUCUCUUCCUUUUUGCAGAGACCUGCAUUCUCGGAGUCUUCAGUGUUCACCACCAGCUUUGGCUUUCCUCUCCCUUCACUGACCAUCCUGGCAAACUGGCCUUUAAUUAACUUUGAUAUCCUCCAUGACCAAGAGCAGUCGGUGCAACACCCUACUUGUAUUCCUGACCAUCUUGGAGAUACGCCCAACAUUCUUGACCUCUAAUCCUUAUGCUGUCACCUUAUUUUCUCCAUUGGGCUCCUCUGAUCACAAUCUCAUAUCUGUAUCUUGUCCUGUCACUCCACUCCCUCCUCAGGAUCCCCCUAAGUGAAAGUGGCUCUGGCAUUUUGCCUCUGCUAAUCAGAGGGAGCUGAGGAGCUAUUACCAUCCCUGUGUGCUGAGCACAUAACAGAGGUGAUAGUGUCUGGCAUGGAGGCGAACAUUCCUCACUCUUUUUCUUGACCUAAACCUUCCAAACCUUGGUUUAACACAGCUUGUUCUUGUGUUAUACAUGAUAGAGAGGUGGCUCACAAAAGGUACUUGAGCCUUCCAUCACCAGAAUCUCAUGCACUUUAUAUUUCUGCCCUGAACCAUACCAACUCUGUUCUUCAAAAAUAAAAAACUUUAAAGAUCUAACUCCCUUCAUGACUUCUUGCAUCUAGCCAAAAAACUUCUCUAAUAACUUUGCUUCUUCAUCUUUCCCUCCUUCAUUUCAACCUGAUGGCAUCACUGCCAUCUCAUCUAUUUCUAAAGCUGACCAUUUGCUCAAAUCUUUGCUAAAAACUCUAUCUUGGAUGAUUCAGGCCUUGUUCCUCCCUCUCUUCAACCUUCUGAUUACUUCAUGCUACUUAUUAAAAUCCUUCGCAGUGAUAUUUUCCAUGCCCUCACUGGCCUAAACCCUCGGUAGGCUUAUGGACCUGAUGGGGUCCUUACUUUUGUUCUUCAAAACUGUACCUCCAUGUUUGCACCUUGCCUAGUCAAAGUCUUUCAGCUCUGUCUGUCAACAUCUACCUUUUCUUCUUGCUGGAAGUUUACCUAAAUUCAGCCUGUUCCCUAAAAAGAGUGACCAUUCUAAUCCUGCAAACUACCAUUCUAUUGCUCUAAUUUCCUGCCUAUCUAAAGUUUUUUAAUUUAUCCUCAAUAGGAAGAUUCUUAAACAUCUAUCACUUCACAACCUUCUAUCUGAUCACCAGUAUGGAUUCCAUCAAGGCUGCUCUGCUGGUGAUCUUCUCCCUUUCCUUACUGAAUCUUGGUCAUACUCUUUAAAGAAUUUUGGUGAAACUUUUGUUGUUGCCUUAGACAUAUCAAAAGCUUUUGAUCAAGUCUGGCACAAAGCUUUGAUUUCCAAACUACCUUUCUACAGCUUCUAUCCUCUGUAACUUCAUCCCAAGUUUCUUUUCUGACUGUUCUAUUGCUCCUGUGGUAGAGGGUCACUGUUGUUCUAAAUCUAUUAACAGAGGUGUUCCUCAGGGUUCUGUCCUGUCACCCACUCUUUUCCUAUUAUCCAUCAAUGAUCUAAAUCAAACUUCUUGUCCUCUCCACUCCUAAGCUGAUGAUACCAACCUGCACUUUUGGACAUCUUUUCAUAGACAUCCAACCCUUCAGGAAGUAAACACUUCACACUGGGAAGCUAGAGACUAUCUGACUUCUGAUUUUUCAAAAAUUUUUCUGAUUGGGGCAGAGCAAACUUGGUAUUGUUCAAUGCCUCAAAAACUUAAUUCCUCCAACUGUCAACUCAACACAGCCUUCCAGACAACUAUCUCCUCUUCUUCAGUGACACUCAACUGUCCCCCCUUCUACACUGAACAUCCUUGGUCUGUCCUUUACUUAUAAUCUAAACUGAAAACUUCACAUCUCAUCUCUAGCUAGGACAGCUUCUAUGAAUCUAGCCAUUCUGAGACAUCUCUGCCAGUUUUUCUCACCCCCCAGCUGCUAACUCUGUACUGGGCCUUUAUCCGUCUAUGUAUGUAGUAUGCUUCACAUUACUGGGAGGGGGGGGUUCCACUCAUACCACUAUUUUAGACAGGGUGGAAUCAAAAGUUUUUUUGUGUUAUCAAUUUUUCUCUUACUGACUGUCUUCAGCCUCUUUUUCAUCACCACAAUGUUGCAUCUCUUGCUAUCUUUUACUGCUGUUUUCAUGCUAACUGCUCUUCUAAUCUUGCGAACUGCAUGCCUCCCCUCCUCUUGCCCCUCCUCCUGCAACCUUGCAGCACAAGACUUUCUUCUUUCUUUCAUCCCUAUUCUGUCCAUCUCUCUAAUGCAAGAGUUAACCAGUAUUCUCAAUCAUUCAUUCGCUUUUCUGGUAAACUCUAGAACUUCCUGCUUGCUUCUGUAUUUCCUCCUUUCUGUGACUUCAACUCUUUCAAGCAGGAGGUUUUAAGACACCUAUCCUUCAAAUUUCAAUGAUUCUCUUGACAUCUCUUUCAGGACUGACCCCUCAGUGGGAUCUUUUUUCCUCUUGUUUCCCUUGGCCAGUGAGCCUUAAAAAAAAAAGUCAUGUGUACAGUCCUUGCCUUACACCUCUUCUUGUAUUCUAUUCUAGGAGUUAUGAAGCAGUCCUAGCAAGUCUUAGUUAUGAAAUAUGUCAUAGCUAGGACAGAAUGGAGCAUUCUUGUCUUAAAUCCACAUGGGAUGGUAAGACUGAGUCCACCCUGUCUUAGCAGCUUAUGACAGAUGCUCCUGCUACCAAGAUGGCCACCCACAACCACCCCAGCUUAGGAAUUAUUUACCCAGAUAGGAUAUAUUGUAUGAAUUUAUGACACAGAACUCAUCAAAAGAUACCAUGUAGAUCAUGCAGGUAUUCUCUCUGUCACCGAUCUAGUAAGAGAAGCCUUAUAGAGUGACACAGAAAGGAGCAACCCACUUACCUCUGAAAUGAAGGUGACCAUAUAACACUUAGAUAUCUUUCUGCUGGGAAGAUACAGUUGUGCAGCAGUGAUGGCCUUGGGGAUUGUUGAGAGAGCCAGCCUUGCCACCAAACCACUUGAAAACUGUUUACAUUGAGGCACUGCUACGGGAUCAUGUUUGCCACAUUUCACACGUCUCAAAGACUGAAUUACAUUGAGGCACUCCUACGGGAUCAUGUUUGCCACAUUUCACACGUCUCAAAGACUGAAUUACAUUGAGGCACUCCUACGGGAUCAUGUUUACCACAUUUCACACGUCUCAAAGACUGAAUUACUAUUUUACCCACUAUUCAGUGUCUCUUCCUCCAAUACAGAAAAACACAGGAAAUAUUUAUAGAAGCUGUUAAUUAGCAGUACUAAAUGGCAGGUUUUGCUUCAUCUUUUAGUAUUUGAAAUGAAGUAGCACUACACAUAGCAGACGGUGAUGAUUGACGGUGUGUCAAGUUACAUGUCUUGCUAUCCUGCUGUGUCCUUUUUCCUCAUUUGCUCCUUGGACCUUUCCACUAUACCCAAGGUGGUGUCAAGACACACUUUUGGAAUCAGUAUUUUAAAUACCUGAGAGAUGUAUUCCUCAAAAAAUAAGCCAAAGUAGCCUUCUGCUGCAGUUUUGCUGGGCAGCUGAAGUAACAGCAUACAAAUGAGAGUUAAACAAAUUGUCCACUAAUAAUGUACUGCACAUAUAAGGCAUUUAAUUACCAUAUUAAUCAACUGUAAUACAGACCAUUGAAAAGUAUGGCUCAUAUGCUAAAUGUACAUACAAUGUUCAUAGGUAUGUACAGGAGAACAAAACUGAAUACAUGUUAACAUGAAUGAGUGGCAACAGUUAUUCACCAAUGGGUGAUGUCAUCUGUAAGAUGCAUGAGUUCAGAAACUAAUGCCCACUGCUAAAACUUCACAUAAUGCACCCACAGCACCAAUGAAACCAGAGGCCCCAGCAACACCAGCAGAUGAGGGCUGGAUGACUGUAACACCACUGCUGGUGGGUGGAUGGCUAUGGUCCUCACAGAGAGCCAGACUCUCCUGGAAAGAGGGAAAAAAAGAAAUACAGGGAGGGCUUUUUUUUUUUUAUGUAGGAGGGACACCACGGAAAAAAAAUAAUGAUAAAAAAAACAAAAACAAACAAACUGAGAUGCCAAAAAAACAAAAAACAAACAAACUGAAAUGCCAAUCCCUGAACAAGGUCCGAAGUAGUAGUCAAAAAAUUGAAGCACAAGCAUGUUAAAACCUCCCUCUUGAAGGAAUUCAAGUCACAGGAAGGUGGAAAUACAGAAGCAGGAAGGGAGUUCCAGAUUUUACCAAAGAAAGUGAUGAAUGAUUGAGAAUACUGGUUAACUCCUGCAUUAGAGAGAUGGACAGAAUAGGAGAGAGAGAAAGAAGAAAGUUUUGUGCAGUGAGGCCGUGGGAGGAGGGGAAGGCAUGCAGUUGGCAAGAUCAGAAAAGCAGUUAGCAUGAAAAUAGUGGUAGAAGACAGCUAGAGAUGUAACACUGUGGCAAUGAGAAAAGAGGCUGAAGACAGUCAGUUAGAGGAGAGGAGUUGAUGAGAUGAAAAGCUUUUGAUUCCACCCUGUCUAGAAGAGCAGUAUGAGUGGAACCACCCUAGUCAUGUGAAGCAUACUCCAUACAUGGAUGGAUAAGGCCCCAGUACAGAGUUAGCAGCUGGAAGGGUGAGAAAACUAGUGAUGUCUCAGAACACCUAACUUCAUAGCUGUUUUAGCUAGAGAUGAGAUGUGAAGUUUUCAGUUUAGAUUGUAACUAAAAGACAGGAUGUUCAGUGUAGAAGAGAGGGACAGUUGAGUGUCACUGAAGAAGAGGGGAUAGUUGUCUGGAAGGUUGUUUUAAAUUGAUAGAUGGAGGAAUUAAGUUUUUGAGUUACUGAACAAUACCAAGUUUGUUCUGCCCCAAUCAGAAAUUUUGGAGAUAUUAAAAGUCAGGCGCUCUGUGGCUUCCCUGUGUGAACUGAAGGGUUGGAUGUCUAGAGACAUGGAAAAGUGCAGGAUGGUAUCAUCAGCUUAGGAGUGGAUAGGACAAGAAGUUUGGUUUAGAAGAUUAUAGAUGAAUAAUAGGAAGAGAGUGGGUGACAGGACAGAACCAUGAGGAACACCAUUACUAAUAGAUUUAGAAGAACAGUGACCAUCUACCACAGCAGCAAUAGAAUGGUCAGAAAGGAAACUUGAGAUGAAGUUACAGAGAGAAGAAUAGAAGCCAUAGGAGGGUAGUUUGGAAAUCAAAGCUUUGUGCCAGACUCUAUCAAAAGCUUUCGAUAUGUCCAAGGCAACAACAAAAGUUUCACCAAAAUCUCUAAAAGAGGAUGACCAAGACUCAGUAAGGAAAGCCAAAGUAUCACCAGUAUAGCAGCCUUGACAGAACCCAUACUGGUGAUCAGAUAGAAGGUUGUGAAGUGAUAAAUGUUUAAGAAUCUUCCUGUUGAGGAUAGAUUCAAAAACUUUAGACAGGCAGGAAAUUAAAGCAAUAGGAUGGUAGUUUGAGGGAUUAGAAUGGUCACCCUUUUUAGGAACUUUUUAGGAAUGUAGGCAAACUUCCAACAAGAAGGAAGGUAGAUGUUGACAGACAGAGUUGAAAGAGUUUGACUAAACAAGAGCAAGCACAGAGGUGCAGUUUCAGAGAACAAUAGGAGGGACUCGUAUAAGGUCCAUAAGCCUUCUGAGGGUUAUGCCAGUGAAGGCAUGAAGUAGUCAGAGGGUGGAAGAGAGGAAGGAACAAGGCCUACAGUAGUGCUUUUAACAAAGGUGAAGAGUUCAGCUUUAGAGAUGGA